rnacentral:rRNA from 1 species
AGUCGACGGGCUCUUCGGAGCAAGUGGCGGACGGGUGAGUAACGCGUGAGAAUGUGCCUUGAGGAUGGGGAUAACAAUAGGAAACUAAUGCUAAGACCCAAUGUGCCUUAAGUGGUGAAAAAUGAAAAUUGCCUGAAGAGGAGCUCGCGUCUGAUUAGCUAGUUGGGGUGGUAAAAGCGCACCAAGGCGACGAUCAGUAGCUGGUCUGAGAGGAUGAGCAGCCACACUGGGACUGAGACACGGCCCAGACUCCUACGGGAGGCAGCAGUGGGGAAUUUUCCGCAAUGGGCGAAAGCCUGACGGAGCAAUACCGCGUGAGGGAGGAAGGCUCUUGGGUUGUAAACCUCAAAACUUAGGGAAGAAAAAAUGACGGUACCUAAUUUAAGCAUCGGCUAACUCCGUGCCAGCAGCCGCGGUAAUACG